rnacentral:sRNA from 1 species
AUAGAGCCUGGGCCACCUGCCCUUCCAAAAGCAGCAGGUUAAAGGCCAGUGCCCAGCACGCACCCCAGGUGACCCCUGUCCCAGAGCACAGGCCAUGCCUGCCCUCUCUGCUCUACUGAGACAGUCACUGCUGUUCCCGUGCAGAUGGGGAAGACGAGGGACAGUCACUGCUGUUCCCGUGCAGACGGGGAAGAUGAGGGUGGAAGGUCAUGCAGCGUAGGGGGGCGGGCCAGCCUCCUGGGACGUGGCCACCGGGCAUGCUGCUUGGCUGUGGCCUCUCAAGAUGUGCUGCUGGUGUGAGGCUUUGCACAGGGCAGGCCGUGGAAUGGGAUGGGCCUUUCUCCUCUGGGCGAAGUGUUUGGUUUCAGAGGGAAGACCAGGCAGGGCUUCCAGUUGUGUUUCUUAAACUGCUUUGAUGCAAGGGUCAUGGUGAGGAGGUGUCAUGUUCUGGAACCUGGCUGGCUCUCAGUCCUGGGCUCAGAGCCCCUAUCUCCAGCCUGGUUUUCCCCAGGUGUUUUCACUGGGAGGAAACACCAGGCACACCUGUCAGCUCCCUCUCAUGGGCAGGGAGAGGGAGUCCCCAGCACCGUGCGACCCCACCGUGUUACUGGCUAUCCCCUCUGCUGUCCUGCGGGCUUCCCUCAAGGGGGACCCAGUAUCUGAUCCUGCCUGAAUGUGUCUGUGGAGGCCAGGCGCCUUGUGAUGGCCUUGCCUGCCCCGCCCCCUGCUCCCACAUCACCCAGCGAUGGGAUUCCGACCUGCUGCAGCACCACCCCACGCACCUGAACUCCAGGCACGUCACAUCGUCCAGCCCGGGCGAGCUGCCGGCCAGGCCCCCUGCUUCCGCGGGCAUCUCUGUCCAGGUCAGACAAGGGUGCGGCAUCGGUCUCAAGCAGGUCGGGUGCAGCUGCCGAGGCUGCACGUCCUUCAGGUGCAUUUCCCAAUCCGACUGUCAAGCGUCCCGGGAAAGUAGCUGGCUGGCAGUGGGCGCGUUGGGACAGUGUCCUGCUGCCAUCCACACAUCUUCAUUACGUGUCCUGAAAUCGACAGUCAAGACCGUGGACUCUGGGGUGACUGCAGCUUCUAGUCGUGCUGAUUGUUCAGAUGAGCGGAUGAUCCACAGGCCCUCCUUUUACGUUUCACAUGUUGUGUGAGUUACCGUCACAGGGUUUUGUUAAACAUUCAGCUAAAAACACUCUGUAAUUUUAGAAGGAAGACAGCCUCCUCCAGGAGCAUCUUACCCGACCUCUUGUCGCCGUACCAAAUCGCGAUCCGAGCAAAAAGACUGGAAGAGAGCCGAGCGGCAGCGCUCCGAGAGCUCCAGGAGAAGCAGGCUCUGAUGGAGCAGCAGAGACGAGAGAAAAGGGCACUGCAGGAGUGGAGAGAGCGAGCCCAGAGGAUGAGGAAGAGGAAGGAAGAGCUCAGCAAACUCCUGCCUCUGCGGAGGAGCAUGGUGGCAUCAAAGACUCCCUCUGCCACAGAUCUGAUAGAUAACGGGAAAGUACCACUGAAUCCAGCUGGAAAAAUGAAACCAAGCAAAGAGAAAUCACCACAAGCAAGUAAAGAAACGCG